rnacentral:rRNA from 1 species
AGUGAACGCUGGCGGUAGGCCUAACACAUGCAAGUCGAACGAGUGGCGGACGGGUGAGGAAUACAUCGGAAUCUACUCUGUCGAGGGGGAUAACUUCUGGAAACUUACGCUAAUACCGCAUACGAUUGAAUGAGCCGAUGUGGGAUUAGCUAGUUGGUGGGGUAAAGGCCUACCAAGGCGACGAUCCGUAACUGGUCUGAGAGGAUGAUCAGCCACACUGGAACUGAGACACGGUCCAGACUCCUACGGGAGGCAGCAGUGGGGAAUAUUGGACAAUGGGCGCAAGCCUGAUCCAGCCAUGCCGCGUGGAUGAAGAAGGCCUUCGGGUUGUAAAGCCCUUUUGGUGGGAAAGCGGUACCCGAAGAAGAAGCACCGGCUAACUUCGUGCCAGCAGCCGCGGUAAUUC